GCUAAACGCGAAGAACCUUACCUACUCUUGNACAUCCAGAGAACUUAGCAGAGAUGCUUUGGUGCCUUCGGGAACUCUGAGACAGGUGCUGCAUGGCUGUCGUCAGCUCGUGUUGUGAAAUGUUGGGUUAAGUCCCGCAACGAGCGCAACCCUUAUCCUUUGUUGCCAGCGGUUCGGCCGGGAACUCAAAAGAGACUGCCAGUGAUAAACUGGAGGAAGGUGGGGAUGACGUCAAGUCAUCAUGGCCCUUACGAGUAGGGCUACACACGUGCUACAAUGGCGUAUACAAAGAGAAGCGACCUCGCGAGAGCAAGCGGACCUCAUAAAGUACGUCGUAGUCCGGAUUGGAGUCUGCAACUCGACUCCAUGAAGUCGGAAUCGCUAGUAAUCGUAGAUCAGAAUGCUACGGUGAAUACGUUCCCGGGUCUUGUACACACCG
rnacentral:rRNA from 1 species